CUUUCACUUCCUUACAAGAUACUUAAGCAACAAGUUAGAGAAUUUCAAAAAGUUCCUUCUGGAUUCUGUACCUUUUGAAAUCCAUCACUGCUACAAUGUGGGAAUCACAGCAGCCAAUUUUGUUCAUCGUAUGCUCUCACACAGAGAAAUAAUGAACUAAUAAUAUGAACGUGAUAUUGCCUGCAGGAUAAAUACUGAUCUGGAGAAUAGUACUUUUCAAAAUACUACCAUGGGACAUUUGAAGUCCUCAUGAUAGGGCAUGCGAUGCCAAUUUAAUGGCUCACUGAAAGAUGGCACUUCUGAUAGCCCAUCACCUGCUGAGUGCCCCAAUGAAGUGCCAGUCUAGGUUUUGCAGUCAAGUCUCAAACACACGUCACUCCGCCUCAGAGAUUUCCAGGAUCUGCAUCAUUUUGCUGAAGUCUGAUUCUUAUUCUCCUUUGGAGAGUUACGCAGCUCCAGAUUAGUCAACCACAAAGGGAUGAUGAUUAAGUGAAGGUGAACAGUAAAGCACUUGAGAAAAUGACAAGGAGGUUCUAAUGGCUUUAUUACCAACCAUCAAUCACAUCAACACAGGCCAAGAUGGAAAUGAAUAUCAACAGCAACAGCAACUGCAGCCUCUCCAAGCCUUGUUCACAUGCAGCAUUUUGCUCUCAACUGCAUGUCAAUUUAUUUCCACCUUGGCUAAAUGCUUCCGGUGGUGUAUCCAUCAUGCAGAGUGAAAUCUACUUCAAAAUAAACUCUUACAAUGAAGAACUUGGCAGUUUUCUUCACAGAAGUGCCUGCAACCAGUUAUAGUCUUCACUUUUCCUGGAAACAAACCACGUCUCAUUUUCUUCUUAACUCUAAAUGUUCCAGAAGCCAAGGGUGGCUUAUGGACUCAUCCUUCAUUUCACUUGCCCAAAUACCAAUAGCCACAUCCUGAGCUGUUUAACUCCUAAAUUAUGGAAUUCCUGUCCCAACUGUUUUGUCUCUUUCAGCAACAAAUUGGAGGAACUCAGCGGGUCGAGCAACACCUGUGGGAGGAAAGGAACUGUCGAUGUUUCGGGUUGAAACCCUGUGUCAGGACGGGUUUCGUUUUUUUAUUCAAUUCAUUAUUUCGUGUUCCUUUCCUCCCCCAGAUGCCACCCGACCCACUGAGUUCCUCCAGCAGAUUGUGUGUUGCUCCAGAUACCAGCAUCAGCAGUCUCUUGUCUCUCUCUGUUUUGUCUCCUUCCUCAGUUAAGACCUUCCUUUAAAACCCUACAUGUUUGCCCAAAAGUUUGGUCACCUACUCGAAAGUCGUCUCCUUUGUCCUGAUGCAUGUCUUUGAGAACAUAACCACAGGAGUGAAAGCAUUUUAAAAUUCUUUAUUUUAAGGUGCAGAACCCCUCACACCUCACCCCAUGCCUCAAGCCCACUUAUCUACCCCGUAACCAUUUCCCUUGAUUUCAUCACUGUCAAAAAAUCAGUCUGAAUAUACUCUAUGUUGGAGCAUUUGAGGUAGAGAGUUUCGAAGAUAAGUAUAUCUUUGCAUAAAGGAAUUUUAUCCCCGUCCUUUUCUGAUUCGUUGGCCUCUUAUUCUAAAGCUAUGCCCUUGAGCUCGAGACCCUCCAGCCAAACAAUAUAGUUGGUCCUUUCAGUUUCCUUCACAACCUCAUUUGUCUCAAGAAGGUCAUCC